CCCGUGAGGACGCCCUUUACCCCUACCCCAGGCUUAGGAGCUGGUAUCAGGCACAACUUUUACGCCCAUAACACCUAGUCCCACCACACCCCCAAGGGUACUCAGCAGUGAUAAACAUUGUCUAUAAGCGCCAGCUUGACCCAGUUAUAAAGAAGAGGGCCGGCCAACUUGGUGCCAGCCGCCGCGGCUAGACCAACUGGACUCAAAUUGAUAAUUCCCGGCGUUAAGCGUGAUUAAAGCCACACACCAAUUAGAGUUAAACCUAUGUUGAGCAGUGAAAAGCACACGAUAGGGAAACCCAGAAACGAAAGUUACUCUAAUCUCUGCUUGAAUACACGACAGCUAGAAAACAAACUGGGAUU
rnacentral:rRNA from 1 species